UUGCAUAGGAUGUCGGCAAUCUCAGAAACCUCUGGGAGUCUGCUUUUCAUGUAGCAAACAACCUAGUAAGAAAAACUAGCUUUGGAGCCAGCCCUGGCUGGAAAAAAUGAAGUUAAAUGAAACUCUCUCCACAAUAUUGGGCUAAAACCUUUUGCUGUUUCUUGCUGAGCCUACCUGGCUGAUGCCAUCAGUGAAAGACAAAUCAGAACAGAUGAAGAAUGUGUCUUUCAGGGGAUGAAUGGAAGCGCCUCCUCUGGCUCAUGCUGGUGGGAGAAAAUGAACCAGCCCUGCUUUCUCUCCCUGGUUCAAUUCCCAGCAAAGGAAAAACAAUGUAAUUCAUGAUGAUGAUGACAAUGACAAUGACGACAACAACAAUAACCAACCUUUAACACAUCCUUAUAAUGUGCCAGACCCUGCGGAUCACUGUGAAAAGAACAUGAGAUGCCCUUUGCAGGGACAUGGAUGGAGCUGGAAGCCAUUAUCUUCAGCAAACUAACACAGGAACAGAAAACCAAAUACCGCAUGUUCUCACUUAUAAGUGGGAGCUGAACCAUGAGAACAUGGACACAGGGAGGGGAACAACGCACACUGGGGCCUGUGGAGGGCAGGCGGGGGGAGGGAGAGCAUCAGGAUAAAUAGCUAAUGCAUGCUGGGCUUAAUACGUAGGUGAUGGAUUGAUAGGUGCAGCAAACCACCAUGGCACACAUUUACCUAUGGAGCAAACCUGCACCUCCUGCACAUGUACCCCAGAACUUAAAAUAAAAUAAAAUUUUAAAAGGACACGAGAUAAUGUAAGAAAGUAGUUAGCACAUAGAAAGCUGUUACUAUUCCAGUAUGUCUCCUACUACCCACGGUGCCCCUUAUAUAAGAGCGCCCUCCUGAGGCUGUCAGAAUGACUGGGGCGAGGCAGGGAAUGAGAGGGGACACCAGGCCUGAGGAGUGAGGAGAACAGACUAGAAUGGCUUCCUGACCGAAACUACACCCGCUCAACCCCAGGCCUGUGUAAUAGGCACUUCCACUUUAGUGUAAGGGUAAAUCCCAGAACCCUGAAGAAACACAGCCCAGAGCUGGCAUCCUUUUGGCCAUUUCCUGGAGUGGAGCCGGAUUUCAGAGGGCUGUCUCAAAUGACAGUGUCAGCACUAGGAGCUGAUGGUUAAAGCUUUGCAAGAAAACAGCAUCCAGCAUUUUCUUUUGCUACUCUCAUGGACCAACAUGAAAGAGCAAAGGGCUUCAGUGAAAUUCAAUAUUGUCAAAGCGCUCUGGGAUGUGAAUUCCAUCCCUCCAGUCUGGGUGACACCUUCAUCUUCUCAACCAGCAUUGAUAUUCCUGCCCAGGAACUUAAGAACUGCCCCUUGCUGUGGUCUGGGUCUCAAGGCUCUUUUCCUGGGAGCUUAAGACUUUUGACUUUUCCCUUGAAGGCGUCCGCAUGCCUCCAUGCCUGGCUUACCUGCAGCCUGUCUAACCCCCAAGAGAUGCAUCCGAGACAGCGUCAUAACCUCUGCUUCCAAACCACCAUCACUAAAGGCACAGUCCUGAGGGAAAUGAAUCAUCGCCUUGGAAAUUUGCAACCUAUGGGCUGAAUUCAGCUCACAGAAGUGUUUUUUCCACAGGGUGUUUUGCUUUGAUUUUUAAACUUGAAUUAGAUGCCUAUAUAAAAAAUCAGGAUAUUGAAUCUAAAAAUCCAAAUUUCUAAAUCUAAAAAUCCAAAUUUCUAACUUCUCCUGAAAAGUAGAUUGCUCCAGCAGUUCUGGCCUGUGUUUCUAUUGUAUGCUCCUACACUGUUUAACAAAACUUCUGACAAUAAAAUUUGUUAUUUAAAAAGUUCUAUUUAUGAAUACAAGUAUUACUUUGAGUGCUGUUACUUUUAUACAGCCUAAGUGAGGAGGAGUACAAAUUCCAUCUUCUAAUCACCACUGUUCCAUGAAUCUAUUCAGUCUUUUAUAUUUUCUGUGGGUGUUUAAGUAUUUCUAUUUCCUACCACCAAUUGUCACUUUGAGUACUAGGACAACUAGCCAAAGAGAUUUUACUUUCGGAUAAUUUGUUAAUCAAGACAUCAUUUAGAAAAAUUACUUACUGUUUAUUUCGAAUUGCCUGACUACAUAAUAAUGAUGACAUGUAUCCUUAAACACAUGACCUACUUCACUGUACAUUUUACUUGAUCAUCCCAGCACACUGUCUGCAUGGUCAACUUGGUGUUCAUAAACUGUGAAAUCAUGUGAUAUGGUCAACUCCUACUUGGAGCUUGCUUAUACCUUAUAUAGAGAGAGGGGCUGUGGGGCAUCACUGGUGAGUGUGGGAGGCCUGAAAGGAAGUCCUAUAUCUCCCUCUCCUUUGGACGCAAAGGCAGCACAGUUUGAAGCCCAGAGUUAAACUGUGGUUUCAGCAUUGUGAACACAAGUGUAAAGUCCUGUCUCUGAAGCCUUUUCCUGCUCUCUCUUAGGAUUAGGGGCUCCUCCCUAGUGUCCCCAUAGCUUUCUGGGCCUGUUCCUAUUACUGCCCACCCCAUUGUAUUGUAAUUACUUGUUUCUGUGUCUGUGUCCUACCUAGAGGUGAGUCUUGAAGAUGGGAAUGACGUCUUUCCCAUGAUUAUAGCCCCAGGCCCAGCGAGGCCUUGAGGAAUGAUCUAGAGACACAGCACUCUUCAACCUUGAUUAUUACAGUAGGUCUUCCCACUUUGCAUUUUCCUAAGUGAAGCAUGAAACCGUCAUACCUCCAGGUAUUAUAUGACAGAAAAUAACAGCAUCAGUUUCCCGGUGAUGUUUAGCAUUCCUGGUUUCUGCCUCUCAUCUCAUCUGACCCGGUAAGUGUCUCCCUAUCUCUUAAUCACAAGGCUCCUUAUCCACAACUGUCUCAGAGAGGGGUUUACCAGACAUCCUGUCUCUGUUCUCAUCUCCUGGGAGCAGGCCAAAAAUGACAAUCAAUUCAUUUGGCUAAUUGGUAUACUGCUGUCUCUCCACUUUUGCUUCCCAAUGUCCAUUCCAGGCACAGGAUUUGUGCAGUGCAACCUCUCUGGCAGCCUGCUCCAGGCAUUUCCACAAGCAAGGGCUUGACCUUUGGCCAGCUUGCAGAUCACUAUUGGGCUGUGUCUCUAUUCAAGGACCGAGCUUUACCAUGCAGGUGUGGAGCUACCUUCUUCCAGAUCUGAGCUUAUAAAUAUACAGAAAGUGCAGGCUGACCUUGCCAAGUGUUCAAGGCCCGGGCACUGUCAGUCCUUUGGAUGCUGACUAGAGUCUUUCUCAGCAUUUACAGAGCUCCCGCGGGCCUCUGUCUCAAUGCCUACAGGAAAUUUGUCUUUGAGUAUGUAAGCACUUCUGUGGCAUAAUUUCCAAGGCCCCAGAAAAUUCCACCUAUCCACUUCCUAAUCUGUUCUUUCACGCCUGAAGUUGCUUAAAUCACCAAAACUUCCAUUUACCAAAGUUUUAAAAACCGCUAGGAGCAAUUAAGUUUUUUAAUGUAAACUUUUUAUUGACUACAACACUCAUACAUAAAAGUGCACAAAUUAUGGUUGUGAAUGAACCACUCAUGUAACCAACACCAGGACCAGAAACAGAACUUUGCCAUGUCCUCAGAAGCCACCCCUUCUUCCUUGUAUCCCUUUGUAGUCCCUUCCCCUCCCUCAUCAGGGAAACCACUAUCCUAACUUGGAACAAGAUAGAUUACUUUUGUUUGUUUGUUUGAAUUGGCAUAUACAAUUAUAAGUAUUUACCUUGUACAACAUCUUGUUUUGAAGUACAUAUAAAAUGUGGAAUGACUAAAUCUAGCUAACCAAUAUAUACAUUACCUCACAUAGUUGUCAUUUUGUUUAUUUGGUUUUGUCUUUUAUAUAAAUGGGAUUUGUUGUAUGUACUCUUUUUCAUAUGUAAUGCUUCUUUUGCUCAGCUCAAUACUCAUGAGAUUCAUCCAUGCUGUUGCACGUAGUCGUAGUUUGUUGAUUUUUAUCACUGCAUAGUAUUCCACUGUGCAAAUAAACCACCUUUUACUUA